rnacentral:rRNA from 1 species
GUCAGCAGCCGCGCGGUAAUACGGAGGGUGCGAGCGUUAAUCGGAAUUACUGGGCGUAAAGCGCACGUAGGCGGCUGGGUCAGUCGGAUGUGAAAGCCCCGGGCUUAACCUGGGAAUUGCAUUCGAUACUGCCCAGCUAGAGUAUGGGAGAGGGAAGCGGAAUUUCCGGUGUAGCGGUGAAAUGCGUAGAUAUCGGAAGGAACACCAGUUGCGAAGGCGGCUUCCUGGACCAAUACUGACGCUGAGGUGCGAAAGCGUGGGGAGCGAACAGGAUUAGAUACCCUGGUAGUCCACGCCGUAAACGAUGAGAACUAGAUGUCGGGAGGAUUUGCCUCUCGGUGUCGCAGCUAACGCGUUAAGUUCUCCGCCUGGGGAGUACGCCGGCAACGGUAAAACUCAAAGGAAUUGACGGGGACCCGCACAAGCGGUGGAGCAUGUGGUUUAAUUCGACGCAACGCGCAGAACCUUACCAGCUCUUGACAUGGGAAGUAUGGUCACCGGAGACGGUGACCUUCAGCUAGGCUGGCUUCCACACAGGUGCUGCAUGGCUGUCGUCAGCUCGUGUCGUGAGAUGUCGGGUUAAGUCCCGCAACGAGCGCAACCCUCGCCUUUAGUUGCCAUCGGUUCGGCCGGGCACUCUGAAGGAACCGCCGGUGAUAAGCCGGAGGAAGGUGGGGAUGACGUCAAGUCCUCAUGGCCCUUAUGGGCUGGGCUACACACGUGCUACAAUGGCGGUGACAGAGGGCUGGCGAAGCCGUGAGGUGGAGCAAAUCCCUUAAAAGCCGUCUCAGUUCGGAUUGUUCUCUGCAACUCGAGAGCAUGAAGUUGGAAUCGCUAGUAAUCGUGGAUCAGCAUGCCACGGUGAAUACGUUCCCGGGCCUUGU